CCUACGGGCGGCAGCAGUGGGGAAUAUUGGACAAUGGGGGCAACCCUGAUCCAGCCAUGCCGCGUGUGUGAAGAAGGUCCUCGGGUUGUAAAGCACUUUCAGUGAGGAAGAACGCCUGGUGGUUAAUACCCAUCAGGAAAGACAUCACUCACAGAAGAAGCACCGGCUAACUCCGUGCCAGCAGCCGCGGUAAUACGGAGGGUGCGAGCGUUAAUCGGAAUUACUGGGCGUAAAGCGCGCGUAGGUGGCUUGAUAAGCCGGUUGUGAAAGCCCCGGGCUCAACCUGGGAACGGCAUCCGGAACUGUCAAGCUAGAGUGCAGGAGAGGAAGGUAGAAUUCCCGGUGUAGCGGUGAAAUGCGUAGAGAUCGGGAGGAAUACCAGUGGCGAAGGCGGCCUUCUGGACUGACACUGACACUGAGGUGCGAAAGCGUGGGUAGCAAACAGGAUUAGAUACCCCGGUAGUC
rnacentral:rRNA from 1 species